rnacentral:misc_RNA from 1 species
AAGUCGUAACAAGGUUUCCGUAGACCAAGUCUUUGGAUCAAGAUCCUUCUGCAGUAGUACACUUGCCGAAGCCUUGCAUAGCAGCCCGUAAGGGUAGGUCAACGACUUUUAAAACAAUACCUUAAAUGCCAGUCCACUUAAUGGGCAACACUAUCAAAUUGCGGGGACGCCCUAAAGGUUUCGGGUGCCAAACAAUGUCAUCGAUGGCGUUGUGGCUAGAGUAAGUCUCUUGGGUAAGGUAAUAACCCCCGAAGCAUUGAUCCUCGUUCGCGGGGUGAGAAUGGGUAAUCCGCAGCCAAUUCCUACCCCGUUUAGGAAGCUGUUCACAGGCCAAAUGUUAGUGGGUGGAGUUAUAAAUUCCGCUUAAGAUAUGGUCGGUCCUGUCGCGAAAGCAAUAGGGUAAGUACUUGCCAGUCCUUUUCCAACGUUCCGUAGGUGAACCUGCGGAAGGAUCAUUAAUGAGAUUGAGCCUAAAAAGUUCUACCUCCAACCCUUUGUUUACCUUACCACUGUUGCCUCGGCGGGUCGUCGACCUUUUCACUAAGGUUGCCGUCGGCGUUUUAACUAGCGCUCUCGUGUGCCCGCCGCUGGGCCCAUUUCUAAACUCUUUGUAAACCCAGUCUUCUGAGAGUAAAUUUAAUACUUCAAAA